AUGCACAGAUCAUACUUCCUUCCCUUUGCAUCUCAGGCUGCUAAUUCAACCAGGCAGUGCUACCUUCAUCAGCAAGAACCAGCUCAGGUAACACAAGACCAAUAUCAGCCCUUCUUCUGUCAGAGAGGACAUGAACCUUUAUCUUCUCAAGCUGAAAGAGAGAGACUCAAUAGAUCUGCAUCUAUAGACCGCAACGCUCUUUUCAUCCAUCUGUCGAAAUGUGUGUACCUGACUGCUUCGGCGGCCACAGAUACAGCACUCAGCACAACAGCUGAAUCACUUGGGGUUUUGGUCUGUUUUUAAUUACUUCCACUGAAAUUCAGGCAGCACCAAUGAUGGGGAGGUGCACCCCACUGGCUCGCUCACCUUUUAGAGGGUGCAAAGGGAAUCGGGGAGCUGGCAUUCCAAGUCAAGGGUGAGGUGAGAGACAUGAUGCUGCAAGUUGUAUCAGCAAGUUGGUAUGGGAGUAAAUUAAAGAGUAGGAGCAUGGGUUUGUAGCAGCAGGAGAGAUGAGGGAUUUAAGAGGUGAUGGAUAAAUGCACCUCCUGUUAACCUGCACCUUUUAAGUACCAUCCAACCACCCAGCAGAAUCCACAACUGAUGUUGUGGUGCUGUGAAAUGCUGUUAGUCCCAAUCAGCUGGCAACCCCACAGGUGCCACCAGCCCUGACCUGUGCAAAUCGCAGCUUCUGCUGCUCGCAGGCUGAUGGAGGUGCCACGAGCAGGAGCAGCGUGCUUCAUCUGGCAGGGGCUGGUGGCAAAUUGUAAAAGCUCUUCCCAUAGAGAGAAAGAAGCUAAUUUCUUACUAAUUAUUUGCCAAACAGCAUGUAAUUAAAUAGUGCAGAACUGUCGACAAUGCAUCUUUGGGUCUUUAGGCCAUAUAUUUUUCUCUUCGUGGCACACUCCUCCAGUGCUUCAAGGCUACUACACACUGCAGAGCAGUGAAGGAACAGAGUGAUAAUUGAACAAUUAACAAAUGAUGUCAUAAAACAAUGUACUUAAAAUAAAAUGCAUAAUUAAAAUAACUGAACCACAAAAAAGAUGCAGCAGCAUACAGAAAAAGCACACAGACACACACACACACAAAAAUCCUUGAGAAUAAGCCCCACGUAGGAACUGAAAUAUGCCAUUUAAAGGAAAAAAAAUAGCACCAGAGUGGUUAAGCAAAGAUGUGGAAUAAACUAGCAAGCAACAGUGAUUUGCAAAAACUAUAAUAAUGUUGCAAAAUAACUAUUCUCUGUAGUUAACAAGUUUGGACCAUAAAACAGUCCUUUGGUGACUCCCUGCAUCAUUAUUUGCUACCAAGGCACUGCAUUGAUGGGCUCAUAGGGAUCCAGGGAUCCAGCGUUAGAUCAGUAAGCAGGAAAGCAGAGGUCCCACUGGAUUUCCUGCCUGGAGAGCUGUUAGGAUCCAUGCUAGUUCUUUAAAGAGCAGAGCUGUG
rnacentral:lncRNA from 1 species